AUUGAACGCUGGCGGCAGGCCUAACACAUGCAAGUCGAGCGGAUGAAGGGAGCUUGCCCCUGGAAUCAGCGGCGGACGGGUGAGUAAUGCCUAGGAAUCUGCCUGGCAGUGGGGGAUAACGUCCGGAAACGGGUGCUAAUACCGCCUACGUCCUGAGGGAGAAAGUGGGGGAUCUUCGGACCUCACGCUAUCAGAUGAGCCUUGGUCGGCUUAGCUAGUUGGUGGGGUAAAGGCCUACCAAGGCGACGAUCCGUAUCUGGUCUGAGAGGAUGAUCAGUCACACUGGAACUGAGACACGGUCCAGGCUCCUACGAGAGGCAGCAGUGGGGAAUAUUGGACAGUGGGCGAAAGCCUGAUCCAGCCAGGCCGCGUGUGUGAAGAAGGUCUUCGGAUUGUAAAGCACUUUAAGUUGGGAGGAAGGGCAGUAAGUUAAUACCUUGCUGUUUUGACGUUACCAACAGAAUAAGCACCGGCUAACUUCGUG
rnacentral:rRNA from 1 species